CGGCAACAGCUCAAAUCUAAAAUCUGGCCUCUUCGGGGCCCGAGUUGUAAUUUGUAGAGGAUGCUUUUGGUGCGGUGCCUUCCGAGUUCCCUGGAACGGGACGCCUUAGAGGGUGAGAGCCCCGUACGGUUGGACGCCUAGCCUCUGUAAAGCUCCUUCGAC
rnacentral:rRNA from 1 species